GGGGCCGUAUUGGUUUUGACAGCAAAGUUCUUUGUAGGUGUAAGCAUGCAGUGCGUUGUAUAAUUAGCACUUUAAUCUGAAUAUACAAAACUCAAAUGGCAAUACUCAGUAUGCCAUGGCUGCUUAAUCAGUGAUUAAGUAACCAUUUGGGCCGCCGUACAGGUUUAGCUUUUUUCCAUGUACCGCCGCCGACUCAAACCAAAAAAAGAUGCUGUUGCAAUAGGCUGUGCCUGCAACAAAAGAUUAUUCAGCUAAGGAAAUAGUUGGUUUGUUGGCUUCCGGUUAUUUCUCUACAAUUAAUAAUCAACUAAGCAUGUAGAAAGCUUAUGGCGGAUUUGUUUGGACACCGGUUCGAGUCCGGUCGGCUCCACGA
rnacentral:tmRNA from 1 species